CGGCCCUUCAGAUGCGUCACCAGACGUGAAAUGUAAGGAAACGGGAGGAUCGGGCAAAGAAGCCACGCACUCACAAGGUGAACAUGUAAAUUCCACAAACAUUAACCGGCGGCGUGCAGCGACAGCGCUGCGGACUGCGCCACUGUACCACCAUACCAGACCCUGCUCAGAGCCUUCUGCUGCUCUUCUGGACCCUCAUGCUGAUUCGUCUGGUCAAGCAGCCAGACCAGGAUGUGUUUUGAAAGGUCGUCAUCCAGCCAAGCCAGGUGCCCCGUGGGCAGCCGCUCGCCAUAGCAGCAUGAGGUUCAGACUGAUCAUCGAUAUUUCAACAGGGCGGCAUAUCAGGCUGUCAGAGGGGUUCCAGUCUCUGCUUUGCACCACAGCUCCAGAUCGUAGGAGAGGAAGUGGAGCUUCUCCCCCAGGAUAAAAGGCGUGCCAGCGGAGCCUCCCUACACUGACCACGCACCCCAGAUCCGGACCAUACAGCCUGCCCCCCAAGGCCGUGUCCAUGCCAGCAUUCCGUAUUCCAGAAAGACUGCUGGGGGGGGGGGGUCUCGCUUUUCCCUGCGUCGCAGCCAUCAGCCCACCACACAGUACAUGGAGACCAGCAGCAGACACGGGGAUAUUCCUCACUCUGUUUGGGCUGGCUUCUCUGUGACAUCUGUUAAAUCAUUGCUGGGGAUUCACGGCAGGCUCAUUAAUACGGCGGGGGUGGGGGCACAUGCAGGCGGUACAGAGGUGGAGAGUCACGCUGCCUCUGCGAGCAGCAGAGAUUUUACAGCAGACGUGGCAGAGCCUGCCUGCUCCAUGCAUGCACACAGCCCCCAUCUCAGCCUAGUGUUCAAUGGGGGGGGGAGCAGCAUUCUGUGUGAAACAGUUACAGCAUUGUCAGGGGCAUUGGAACCAAGUGGGAUACAGUAUGUGUACCCCCAAUAUCUCAUUUGGAUUCAUUCACCCCUCCCCCCUCCAAUAAAUAGACCUUUGCAUAUAAAUUAUUAAGUUUUGUCCCCUCAGUAUCAAACUCUGCUACACCACUGAGCGUUAGGCCUGUUUAUAAUCCAUCACCUUCGUAUUGUAGCACAGCCAAUCCCGUCACCGAUCGCGCACUCGGUGUCAUCCCAUAAUAUUUUCUGCUGGGGGUUUCUUGUUCAGUUACUCCUCUUCUACUCAACGGACCACACAGUACAUAUGAAUAUCUGCUAAUGGGGGCAGCAAGGGGGCUCGUGCCGAGGAUGGACACUUAUCUUACUGUACGCUGCUCAGAGCGGCAGGCGGCGAGGAAUUAACACGCACGCUGACACAAUGAGCCUGGAGGACGUGCAACCUCAUUAACCAGGAGAAGCAUCCCUGAAAGGCUAUUGAGAACCCUCAGCUCCCAGAUUGUAUAAUAAAGGCUAAUAGUUUUGCAAAAGCACAUCAUUCUAUGGCAUAAUGAAGCACGCAUAAAUCUUCACUGCAGCUCUGGAUGUAACGUUUGUGAUUUUUUUUUUUCUAUAUGCGAUCUUGGUUAUUCUAAGCAUUGCGAUUUCAUCACCUAUUGGGGGGGGGGGGGCAGCAAUACUAAGACUGCUAAGAAAUUAAGAAGGGGUCGGUGAGAACCUGGCCCUUUUGACCUCUUUUAAAUAAUCAAAGGUUUAUUUUCCAGGUAUCCCCAUCCUUACAAAAGUAGAGCGUUCCUAUGAAACCUUUUUUAAGCCAAUAUGUCAUAAAGCGAAAAAGUAGUUAACACUAAUUUAUUGGGGAGACAUUUUUUGAGCAUUCCCAGAUCCAGACAAAUAAUCUACCACAUUAUACCAACUAACACAUAAAAUGUAAAACACUGAUAUAAAGUAAAAGCAGAAAUUAUAUGAUAAAUACACCGCCUAUAUGAAGCAGCAGUAAUGUAUCAGUGUACUUUCACUUAACAGGAUAUAGCCUAAAUAAUGAUAAAU